rnacentral:rRNA from 1 species
AGGGCGCUACCAUGCAGUCGAGCGAGAUCUUCGGAUCUAGCGGCGGACGGGUGAGUAACGCGUGGGAACGUACCCUCUUCUGCGGGAUAGCCACUGGAAACGGUGAGUAAUACCGCAUACGCCCUUCGGGGGAAAGAUUUAUCGGAGGAGGAUCGGCCCGCGUUGGAUUAGGUAGUUGGUGGGGUAAUGGCCUACCAAGCCUACGAUCCAUAGCUGGUUUUAGAGGAUGAUCAGCCACACUGGGACUGAGACACGGCCCAGACUCCUACGGGAGGCAGCAGUGGGGAAUCUUAGACAAUGGGCGCAAGCCUGAUCUAGCCAUGCCGCGUGAGUGACGAAGGCCUUAGGGUCGUAAAGCUCUUUCGCCUGUGAUGAUAAUGACAGUAGCAGGUAAAGAAACCCCGGCUAACUCCGUGCCAGCAGCCGCGGUAAUACGGAGGGGGUUAGCGUUGUUCGGAAUUACUGGGCGUAAAGCGCACGUAGGCGGAUUGGAAAGUAUGGGGUGAAAUCCCAGGGCUCAACCCUGGAACGGCCUCAUAAACUUCCAGUCUGGAGUUCGAGAGAGGUGAGUGGAAUUCCGAGUGUAGAGGUGAAAUUCGUAGAUAUUCGGAGGAACACCAGUGGCGAAGGCGGCUCACUGGCUCGAUACUGACGCUGAGGUGCGAAAGUGUGGGGAGCAAACAGGAUUAGAUACCCUGGUAGUCC